rnacentral:misc_RNA from 1 species
AUCGAGUUGUUGGCCCUUUGACAUUUCUCAACUUCCUCUGAACUUUCGUUAUACUUUAGAGUUUUCUAGACUGAAAUCUCAAUAUGUUAUUUAAAUGAUGAUUUCUGUUCGUUCUUAAAAGUGGAAGGUGAUCCCAUGACUAGAUUACGGAAUUACCGACCGUUGGAAGUUACCACGAUCUGACUGUAGUAAAAAUUGUCACUAUACUAUAAGCAGAAAAUGCCAACAACUAAAACUCUUCAGUUAUCUAAAUAUGUCCGCAUGGUGCUAGAGAAUGAGCUGAAACUAACAUGUAAGGAGUUUGACGAAGAAGACAUUAAGGCAUUACUGAAGAAGAGCAAUAGGGAAUGUACACCAAGGGAGACAAUCCAAGGAUAUCCUUCCUAUCCUCUGUACAGAGAGAUUGGUAACAUGUUGCAGCAAUGGAUGGAAAAGAGAUAUUGUCCAGCCCUGGAUCUCCCAAAGUAUGAUCUACUGGAUGAGAAGUUAUACGCUGAAUCAAGGGAGGCAAACUUGAAGUCCAUCACGCCACUUCUGGACGGGCUUCAGACUUUGUGGGAAGAUUGGAAUGACGAAGAAAUAGCUUACAGGGUCAAGGAAAUAAUGAUUAUUUUGGGCAAAAGAGGGAUGUUAGAUUUACUGGGUGUGAGGAAGACAGUGGGAACUCAAGAACUGUGGCCAGUGGAUAGAGAGCUGAUGGUGAAAUCCUUUACAGAGAGGCACAGGUCAGACACACACCAAUGUAAUCCCUAAUCCCAGAAUCCCAUCAUCCCUCUUUCAAACAAUUUACAAAAUGAGUAAAAUAUUGUCUUGGCCUAUUUUGUAGUCCAAAUGCUGAGAUCAGUGUUGGAGCCCGGGCAUUGUCCAAACACUACCACCGAGACAGCUCAACUUCCUGGUGGGGAGGGUGCACCGGAACUGAAAAACAGAAGAAUGACUAUGCACUGUCAAUUAUGAAUAAGAUUUUAGACGGUGCAACAUGGAUUAAUAUCCACUGGUUACCGCAUGAUGUUUAUAUCUUAGAAGUCAGACAAGAGGAAGGUUAUGGUGCUAGAUGGACUGCAGACGGCUCCAGCUUCAGAGGUUUCUUGGAGCCACAAAUGGUUGACGGGCACUCUGUUGGCUGGAAACACUGAAAAACUUAUCAGGAGGUGACAGACUGAAACCUGAGGUCUUAAACACUGAAACCAAUGGACCAUGAACACUGAAACCAAUGGAUCAUGAACACUGAAACCAAUGGACCAUGAACACUGAAACCAAUGGACCACGAACACUGAAACCAGUUGACCAGAAAGACAAAACUGUUCAAGAAACAAGUCAUUAGCAGAAAUCUGAUGAGUGUUUUCAUUUCAGUGGUUCAGGCUAUCUUUGAUAGAUUCAUAAGAAAGUUUUAAUUAUAAAAUCAGUAGACAUAGUGCAGUAUUAACUGUGUCACAAUGUUGUUAACCUUUUUUAACAGAAUUAAGAAUUUUCUUAAGCCAAAAUAUGCUUCAGAUAGAUUGUUGAUGUUUAUUAUGUAGUUAUUUAAAUUGUUGGCAUUGUAUUUUUCUCUGAAUCUUUAUCUUUUUUUGUUGCAUGUCUAUUGUUUGAUAAGCUUGAUAUGAUUGCAUAGUUUUAUUUUAAAUUUUAAUGUUGUUAUUAAAUCACACGAAUACUC